rnacentral:rRNA from 1 species
GACAGAGGUGCCAAGCGUUAGGCGGAAUCACUGGGCUUAAAGCGUGUGUAGGCGGAUGUCUAAGUACCUUGUGAAAUCCCACGGCUCAACCGUGGAACUGCUUGGUAUACUGGAUGUCUUGAGCCAUCUAGGGGCUACCGGAACAAAUGGUGGAGCGGUGAAAUGCGUAGAUAUCAUUUGGAACGCCAAUGGUGAAAACAGGUAGCUGGGGAUGUGCUGACGCUGAGGAGCGAAAGCGUGGGGAGCGAACAGG